rnacentral:rRNA from 1 species
GUGCCAGCAGCCGCGGUAAGACAGAGGGUGCGAGCGUUAAUCGGAAUUACUGGGCGUAAAGCGCGCGUAGGCGGCUUGUUAAGUCAAAUGUGAAAUCCCCGAGCUUAACUUGGGCAUUGCAUUCGAUACUGGCAAGCUAGAGUAUGGGAGAGGAAGGUAGAAUUCCAGGUGUAGCGGUGAAAUGCGUAGAGAUCUGGAGGAAUACCGAUGGCGAAGGCAGCCUUCUGGCCUAAUACUGACGCUGAGGUGCGAAAGCAUGGGGAGCAAACAGGAUUAGAUACCCUGGUAGUCCAUGCCGUAAACGAUGUCAACUAGCCGUUGGGGCCCUUGAGGCCUUAGUGGCGCAGCUAACGCGAUAAGUUGACCGCCUGGGGAGUACGGUCGCAAGACUAAAACUCAAAUGAAUUGACGGGGGCCCGCACAAGCGGUGGAGCAUGUGGUUUAAUUCGAUGCAACGCGAAGAACCUUACCUAGCCUUGACAUGUCUGGAAUCUUGUAGAGAUACGAGAGUGCCUUCGGGAAUCAGAACACAGGUGCUGCAUGGCUGUCGUCAGCUCGUGUCGUGAGAUGUUGGGUUAAGUCCCGCAACGAGCGCAACCCUUUUCCUUAUUUGCCAGCACUUCGGGUGGGAACUCUAAGGAUACUGCCAGUGACAAACUGGAGGAAGGCGGGGACGACGUCAAGUCAUCAUGGCCCUUACGGCUAGGGCUACACACGUGCUACAAUGGUCGGUACAAAGGGUUGCUAACCCGCGAGGGCAUGCUAAUCUCAAAAAGCCGAUCGUAGUCCAGAUUGGAGUCUGCAACUCGACUCCAUGAAGUCGGAAUCGCUAGUAAUCGCGGAUCAGAAUGUCGCGGUGAAUACGUUCCCGGGCCUUGUACACACCGCCCGUCACACCAUGGGAGUUUGUUGCACCAGAAGUAGGUAGCCUAACCGUAAGGAGGGCGCUUACCACGGUGUGGCCGAUGACUGGGGUGAAGUCGUAACCAAGGUAAC